CGAACGGGUGAGUAAUGCGUGACCAACCUGCCCCAUGCUCCAGAAUAGCUCUUGGAAACGGGUGGUAAUGCUGGAUGCUCCAACUUGACGCAUGUCUUGUUGGGAAAGUGUUUAGUGGCAUGGGAUGGGGUCGCGUACUAUCAGCUUGUAGGCGGGGUAAUGGCCCACCUAGGCUUCGACGGGUAGCCGGCCUGAGAGGGCGGACGGCCACGUUGGGACUGAGAUACGGCCCAGACUCCUACGGGAGGCAGCAGCC
rnacentral:rRNA from 1 species